CUCGCACGUACGUGUUUAACUACAAUUUCAAUUUAAAAGUACCCGAAGGUCAAAGUCGUCUUGCGACUAGGCUGUGAAAAGCCGGAGUACAUGAAGUACUCAGUGACAUUUCCCUAGUUACUAUGGUUCACCUCUGUGGCGACCAUCAAAUUAUUCAAGAAGUGCAAGGAAACACUUAUUUCCCUUAUUAAUUAUGUUGACUAGUCCCCUUGACGGUCAAGCAAACGAUUCAACGAGCGAGAAGGGUAUUACCCACGCUCAGUUUUGUUCAAAUCAUGGCUUGUCGACUUAUUCCCG
rnacentral:lncRNA from 1 species